rnacentral:rRNA from 1 species
AGUUUGAUCCUGGCUCAGGAUGAACGCUAGCUACAGGCUUAACACAUGCAAGUCGAGGGGCAGCAUGACCUAGCAAUAGGUUGAUGGCGACCGGCGCACGGGUGAGUAACACGUAUCCAACCUACCGGUUAUUCUGGGAUAGCCUUUCGAAAGAAAGAUUAAUACCGGAUAGUAUAACGAGAAGGCAUCUUUUUGUUAUUAAAGAAUUUCGAUAAUCGAUGGGGAUGCGUUCCAUUAGUUUGUUGGCGGGGUAACGGCCCACCAAGACAUCGAUGGAUAGGGGUUCUGAGAGGAAGGUCCCCCACAUUGGAACUGAGACACGGUCCAAACUCCUACGGGAGGCAGCAGUGAGGAAUAUUGGUCAAUGGACGAGAGUCUGAACCAGCCAAGUAGCGUGAAGGAUGACUGCCCUAUGGGUUGUAAACUUCUUUUAUAUGGGAAUAAAGUGAGCCACGUGUGGCUUUUUGUAUGUACCAUACGAAUAAGGAUCGGCUAACUCCGUGCCAGCAGCCGCGGUAAUACGGAGGAUCCGAGCGUUAUCCGGAUUUAUUGGGUUUAAAGGGAGCGUAGGCGGACUAUUAAGUCAGCUGUGAAAGUUUGCGGCUCAACCGUAAAAUUGCAGUUGAUACUGGUCGUCUUGAGUGCAGUAGAGGUAGGCGGAAUUCGUGGUGUAGCGGUGAAAUGCUUAGAUAUCACGAAGAACUCCGAUUGCGAAGGCAGCUUACUGGACUGUAACUGACGCUGAUGCUCGAAAGUGUGGGUAUCAAACAGGAUUAGAUACCCUGGUAGUCCACACAGUAAACGAUGAAUACUCGCUGUUUGCGAUAUACAGCAAGCGGCCAAGCGAAAGCAUUAAGUAUUCCACCUGGGGAGUACGCCGGCAACGGUGAAACUCAAAGGAAUUGACGGGGGCCCGCACAAGCGGAGGAACAUGUGGUUUAAUUCGAUGAUACGCGAGGAACCUUACCCGGGCUUAAAUUGCAAAUGAAUAUAGUGGAAACAUUAUAGCCGCAAGGCAUUUGUGAAGGUGCUGCAUGGUUGUCGUCAGCUCGUGCCGUGAGGUGUCGGCUUAAGUGCCAUAACGAGCGCAACCCUUAUCUUUAGUUACUAACAGGUCAUGCUGAGGACUCUAGAGAGACUGCCGUCGUAAGAUGUGAGGAAGGUGG